rnacentral:rRNA from 1 species
AUGAAAAUACAGGCCCCGGUGCCUUGGAAGCCAUACUGCAAGGUCACAUUUCGGGACCUACUUAUAUCUCGGGUGUGGGAUUUAAGGAACUUGUGGCGACGACUUGUUGGUAUACAUGGUGGGAGCGGCGUCGUAUUGCGCGGGGCGAACCGGUUCAGACCACUGCUCGCUCAGCACAAGGUAUCGCUGCCAUUGCUUUGA